rnacentral:rRNA from 1 species
UACGUAGGGGGCGAGCGUUAUCCGGAUUUACUGGGUGUAAAGGGAGCGUAGACGGUUUUUCAAGUCUGAAGUGAAAGCCCGCGGCUCAACUGCGGAACGGCUUUGGAAACUGAGGGACUAGAGUGCUGGAGGGGCAGGCGGAAUUCCUGGUGUAGCGGUGAAAUGCGUAGAUAUAAGGAAGAACACCAGUGGCGAAGGCGGAUAACUGGACGGCAACUGACGGUGAGGCGCGAAAGCGUGGGGAGCAAACAGG